GACACAGGCAUCCUCCUCUUUCUCCCAGUAAAGGCACAGUGCCCACCACCUUCCAGAAGGACAGUUUAGGGAGACGGGCUCUGUGCCUUGCUUGGAUUCAAGGUCCGACUCUUGCCACCUAUGAGCUGUGUGACCUCUAGCCUGUGUAUUACUCCUGUUGUGCCUUGUCUGCAAAAUGGUGAUAAUAACAGGAUCUCCCUCAAAUUCUUUAUGUGGGGAUUAAACAAAUUAAUACUAUAAGGUUCCGGGUCCUGCAUGAAACAAGGAUUGUAGAAAUGGCAAGGGAGUGAAUUUGGGUGCAUUGGUGGCCAAAAGGUGUUUAUUAAGCACCUGCUGUACACAGGACCUUGUUUGGGUUUUGCUUUGUUUGCAGAGCUGGGGAUUGAAAUGUGCCAAGCAGGAGCUCCAUCCCCGAGCCACACCUCCAGCCCAGGAUCUGUUCUAGGACCUGCAGACACAGCCUCAACCGGACAGCCUCCCAGCCUGGCUCAGGUCCCCUGCGGUCACUCCUGGAGUUCCCAGCAUUCCACUUUACUGGAUCUCCCUGCCCAGUGUGGUGGUGCACACCUGAGACUCCAGGAGGCUGAGCGAAAGACGUCCCAGGAAAACUGAGCUCCGUUAGCACGUCGUGGACUCUGCGCAUCAGCUCUUCCUGGGGUCGCAGGCUUGUCCCUGCUGUAAACGGCAGAGGUGCCCUCCUGGCUGCCCGGCGGAGCUCCUAAGGCCCAGCCGCCCCACUCGCCCCAGGGCGCGGCACCCCAGGCCUGGAACAAGGAGCCUCUCAGGAAACGUUGGUGGAUCAAAUAAAUGAGCCGUUGUGUCGCCUGCUUCUGGAACCAGAAUGUGCGUAAACCCAGGGAUCCACCACGGCGUGCCAAGGACUCAAAAUCCACGGCAAACCGUUUCCAUUGCCAAGUUCACUACAUCUUUUGAAGGAGAAUUCGUCUUUGUACAUAAUGAACACUGUCCGCGUGGAGUGGAGGGUGAACUUUUUUUUUUUUUUUUUAACACUGGGGCCGGAACCCAGGUCCUAGCACAUGCUGGGCAAGCUCUCUGCGCUGAACUACGUACCCCAACCCCUGAGAUAGAUAGACAGAUAUGGUGGGGUCUGAACUCAGGGACACUUAAUUACUAAGCCACAUCCCAGUCCUUUUUUGUUUUUUAUUUGGAGACAACGUCUCCUUAAUUCGCUUAGGGCCGCACUAACUUUCUGAGGCUGGCCUCCAACUUGCAGUCAUCCUGCUUCAGCCUCGGAAGACUCUGGGGUUACAGGCAUGUGUCACAAUGGCCAGAAAGGUGACUUUUUAAUGACAAAAUAAGGCAUCAGUGGGGCUCCCCGGUAAUCCCAGCAGUUCAAGAGGCUGAAGCAGAAGGGUCGAGAGUUCAAAGCCAGCCUCAGCAACUUAG